rnacentral:rRNA from 1 species
AACGCGAAGAACCUUACCAAGGCUUGACAUCGCCGGUUUACCCCUAGAGAUGGGGGGUCCUUUUGGGCCGGUGACAGGUGGUGCAUGGCUGUCGUCAGCUCGUGUCGUGAGAUGUUGGGUUAAGUCCCGCAACGAGCGCAACCCUUGUUCCAUGUUGCCAGCACGUGAUGGUGGGGACUCAUGGGAGACUGCCGGGGUCAACUCGGAGGAAGGUGGGGAUGACGUCAAGUCAUCAUGCCCUUUAUGUCUUGGGCUGCAAACAUGCUACAAUGGCCGGUACAGAGGGUUGCGAUACCGUGAGGUGGAGCGAAUCCCUAAAAGCCGGUCUCAGUUCGGAUUGGGGUCUGCAACUCGACCCCAUGAAGUCGGAGUCGCUAGUAAUCGCAGAUCAGCAUUGCUGCGGUGAAUACGUUCCCGGGCCUUGUACACACCGGUAUCUC